rnacentral:misc_RNA from 1 species
UUUCCGUAGGUGAACCUGCGGAAGGAUCAUUGUCGAAACCUGCCCAGCAGAACGACCCGCGAACUUGUAUAAACAACCGGGGGCGGGGGGCGUUCUCGCCCCGUGCCCCCGAACGGCGGGGAGACACUCGUGCCUUCUUGCCGAACAACGAACCCCGGCGCGGUCUGCGCCAAGGAACUUCAAAGAAAAAGUGCCUCCGGUCGCCUCGGAAACGGCGUGCGUGCCGGGGGAGAAUCUUGUGCAAAACCAUAACGACUCUCGGCAACGGAUAUCUCGGCUCUC